rnacentral:tRNA from 1 species
GAGGAUAUAGCUCAGUGGUAGAGUGCAUAACCCUAGCAUGCAUGAGGUCCUGGGUUCAAUCCCCAGUACCUCCA